AGAGAGCGGCAAGCACCCAAUUCAUGAUCCUAGAUGUUGCACUAAUCAGAGCACAUGCAUGCCAACUAAUGAUAAACAAAGCUCACAAUUCACCUGAAUUUUUUGCAUCUGUACCAAACUUAUAUUGUUAACAGCAUGAUUAUUCUCCUAAAAUUAUUAAGCAUCACUAUAUUUCAAUCCUAUGAACAGUCAAAAUAUAGCAAAU
rnacentral:misc_RNA from 1 species